UACAGAGGGGGCAAGCGUUAUUCGGAAUUACUGGGCGUAAAGGGCUCGUAGGCGGCCAACUAAGUCAGACGUGAAAUCCCUCGGCUUAACCGGGGAACUGCAUCUGAUACUGGAUGGCUUGAGUUCGGGAGAGGGAUGCGGAAUUCCAGGUGUAGCGGUGAAAUGCGCAGAUAUCAGGAGGAACACCGGUGGCGAAGGCGGUUCUCUGGGCAUUACCUGACGCUGAGGAGCGAAAGUGUGGGGAGCGAACAGG
rnacentral:rRNA from 1 species